rnacentral:rRNA from 1 species
AGACCGAUAGCGAACAAGUAGAGUGAUCGAAAGAUGAAAAGCACUUUGGAAAGAGAGUUAAACAGCACGUGAAAUUGUUGAAAGGGAAGCGCUUGCGACCAGACUCGCCCGGGGGGGCUCAGCCGGCACUCGUGCCGGUGCACUCCCCCCCGGGCGGGCCAGCGUCGGUUUGGGCGGCCGGUCAAAGGCCCCCGGAAUGUGUCGCCCUCCGGGGCGUCUUAUAGCCGGGGGUGCAAUGCGGCCAGCCCAGACCGAGGAACGCGCUUCGGCUCGGACGCUGGCGUAAUGGUCGUAAGCGGCCCGUCUUGAAACACGGACCAAG